rnacentral:rRNA from 1 species
GAUGAACGCUAGCGGCAGGCUUAAUACAUGCAAGUCGAGGGGCAGCAGGGAUAGCAAUAUUCGCUGGCGACCGGCGCACGGGUGCGUAACACGUAUACAAUCUGCCUUUUACUGGGGGAUAGCCUUUCGAAAGAGAGAUUAAUACCCCAUAAUAGAUUUCUCGGCAUCGAGAGAUUUUGAAAGUUCCGACGGUAAGAGAUGAGUAUGCGUCUGAUUAGCUAGUAGGUGAGGUAACGGCUCACCUAGGCCACGAUCAGUAGGGGAUCUGAGAGGACUAACCCCCACACGGAUACUGAGACACGGAUCCGACUCCUACGGGAGGCAGCAGUAAGGAAUAUUGGACAAUGCCCGCAAGGGUGAUCCAGCCAUGCCGCGUGCAGGAAGACGGCCCUAUGGGUUGUAAACUGCUUUUAUACAAGAGAAAACCCAUCUACGUGUAGAUGGCUGAUAGUAUUGUAGGAAUAAGCAAUCGGCUAACUUCGUGCCAGCAGCCG